rnacentral:lncRNA from 1 species
UUAUGAUAAUUCCUAUGCUAUGAUUUUGUCAUUUCAACAGAUGGCCAAGUUCUGGUUGAAUUACAAAGACUAAGUUGAGUUAUUUACAUUUUCCAUGUUUACAUGGAUAAACAUUUUGAAAUUGAUAUACUAAUUUGAACUUUACCAUUCAUUUAUAGCAAUGUGUUGAGUGUGUUUAUUCUAUUCAUUUGCCAGGUUCCAGAGAGCUAAAGAUACAUAAGAUGACGUGGGUAGAAAACAUAUACAGGAGUAAGCAUUCAUUAAUGGAAAACUUAGAGGCAAACAUAAAUAACCUGAAUCUUUAAGACAAAAUAGCUUGUAGGAACUAUUCUACAAGAUGAAGAAUGGGAUAAAAGUUCUCAUCUUGAGAAACUUCAUUUGAAGAACCUGGAAGACAGGACACAAUGUAAGGUAGUGUGGAGCACUAUUAUCUUAGUAUUUAUAAUAAAUUUCAAGCAGAGAAGAGUGAAGAUACAUCUGGAGAGACAAAUAAAUCCAGGUCAAGAUAAAUUAGCAGUGACAUGCAAGGUAGUUUGAACUUCAUUCUGUAGGAACUAGGGAGACAAUGAAGGGUUUUAAGAGAUAAUUUCUGAUUUAAAUCGGAUACCACAAUAAUUGGGUGGAGAACAGACUUGACGGCAUAAGAUUAGAAGAAGGGGAAUUUCCAUCAUGGCUCAUCAGAAAUGAAUCUGACUGGCAUCCAUGAGGACACAGGCUCAACCCAGCCUUGCUCAGUGGGUUAAGGAUCUGGCGUUGCUGUGAGCUGUGGUGCAGGUCACAGACACAGCUUGGAUCGGGAAUGGCUGUGGCUGUGGCAGCUAUGGUCAUAAAAUGACCAGAAAAAAAAAUUAGAAGGGAAAUCAGGUAAGAGAAUGUUGAAAUGGUUCAGGAGAGGGAUGUUUUGAACCUCAACAAUAAUAGUGGUGCUAGUGAUGAAGAGAUGGGGAAAUUUUCAAGACAUAUUUAGGAGAUAAAACUGCCAAGACAAGGGGCAACUGCCAAUAUCAACAGGCAGAGAGAGAUAGAAGAAUCAAAAGUAAUUAUUCUUGGAUUUUUCAUUCUAGUGACCAGGUAGACAGUGUGGCAUCAACAAGAUUAGAUAAUAAAAAAGAUGACAUUUGAGAGAAGGAAGAGGACAAGAGAUGAGAGGGAGGGAGGAGGGAAUUUUUACUGAUCAUUGCACUUGCAGGCAAACUGGCUCUUUUACAUUAGUGGAUGCUGAAUAAUAAUGUAGUGACAUCAGAAGGUGUUCAUUAUAUUUGAAGAAUUUUAAUACAGAAUGUGUAUUCUCAGCUACAUUAGCAUAUUUAUUAUUUGAUUUCCACUUUAGCAGUUGGAAUACUAGAACAUUUUAUUAGAAUUUCUAUUUUUCAAGUGUUAUUCGUAAAUGAAAAACAUGAUAAGCUCAUACUUUUGUAGAGAAAAACAACAGGGAAUUUAACUGAUUUUUCAGGAAUUCCUUUAUUCUUUCCCAGGAUCAGCCCUUAAGAUAUAAUUUUAAAAGUUUAAGGAUAUUUAUCAAGCAUCUGUAUAUGUAUUAAUGAGUUAAGGAUUUAUCAGCCUUACUUCCAUUAUUCCGUGGAAUUAUGGCUGAAAUAAAUAGAUAGCUCAAGCUAUCCAUCUGGUUCAUGUUUACUAGGAAAUUAAUGUUCAGGUUUCUUAGACUUGGUCUUACUUCAUAAGUAAGAUGCAGUUGGUAAAACCUAACCCAAGACCAAACAAAAAAUGAUUUCAAAGUCUGCCUGUGUGUAAAUAAGAAAGGCCUGUGUUCUCUUAACCAACUCUGGAAAUAUAUACACUUUUGUGCAUUUUUCAUUCAAUAAAAAAUUACUAAAAGGCUAUAAAUAUUAUAUCAUAUGAUGAUAUAAAGAUAUGAUGACAAAAAAUUUAUAGCAAUCCUAAAAUAAAAUACCUUUAGAUUUCUCAUAUUUUUGUAUCAUCGAACACUUAAAAAUUCUUUAUACACAUUUGUAAUACUAUACUCCAUAGAAUUAUACUUGCAAUAAAAUGUUAGGAAGUAAUUUAUACCAUUAUCUGUUAUGUAUAUGAUGCCAAUGAUUAAUUUUUGUUAUGCUACAGUUUCUUUUCACUAAAAAGUAUUAUCUAUAUGGUUGGCACAAAGGUGGUCCAUAGUAACAAAAGCUUUCUAAACUUCUAAGUUAUGCCUUUUAAUUUUUUCUAAGUUAUUAUGGCUAUAACAUAUUAGAUGAUACUUGGGUGACCUAAAAUACAUGCUUUCCUAAGCACUUAAAGAGUACUACACUUUGGCAGUGGGAAAAUCUGGCAUUUUAUGUUUAACCAAUUACAACAAAGGAUGUUCUUCAUAUUUGUUGCUGAUUUUAUAAAUAGUCUUAGAAUACUACUUAAGUCUCAAAGGAAUGAAAUACCAUCUUCCAGAAAUCAUUAAACUGCUUAAUCUAAAAUGACUUAACACCAAUGAGCAACAGGAAAUGGUCUAUCUAUACAACUACACCUUGUCAGGACACUUUAGUGGAAAACUGGUUUAACUUCUUAGCACACUUCAGGUUAAGUCUUUGGGUCAUGAGUAUCAGAAUAUUUGAAAUAUGGUGUAGACACAGAUGUGAUUUCCAGUUUUCUUUGUAAAGCAAGUCAUAAUUAUUUCAUUUUCAGACUUUGUUUUGUAACCAUUGCCUUUGUAAAAAUUGUGCUCAACAUUAUAUUUUUUUUUUUCCUGAACUGGUUUUAACAUGUUACUCCACAGCUGUUUGAGAGCAAGUAAAUUAAUAUUUUCUCCAGGGAAGAGAAAUAGUAAUCUUAAUAUUACCAUGAAAAGAAACAAUGGUUCUAGGGCAUCAACCAGCAAGGCCAAUAUCCCUAUAAUCCUACUACAAGGGUGAUAUUCAUUUAAAUGAGUGUCUUCUGGGAAAUUUUUCAGCAUCAUUCUGAGACACUUUCAACACGAGAAAUAACAUACACUUGUUAAUUUUCUAGUUACCAAAGGGUCAGAUUAAAAAGAUUUGUUGCAGCUGAGGGAUUUUUCAAGGUUAUAGCCCAUCAAACAUCAAAACAUGAGAUGCACAAGAUCCUGAAAACAAUUCAGUAAUGUUCGUUUUUAUAUUCAGCGGUGAGUCCCUGGGAAGUAAGUGGAUGUCCUUGACACUGUACUAUGGUUAGUUUCUGCUGCUCUAGGCAUUUUGCUGAGUACUGUUUUUACCUUUAUGGUCAUGCAGUCAUAAACAGUGCCAGGGAAUGGUGAAAUAAGUACGUGAACUUAUUUGGUCUUGUUUACAGUACGAAUUCAGAAAACAUGGGACUCUAACGAUUAGAAUGAAUGCUUAUUGCUUUUUGUGUGCUUAAAUAAUAGAAUAUGGUGGUUUUUAAUAAGUAGAGUGGAAUAAACUUGCAGCAAAAAUUUUUUUUGGCUUAUGACUAAUGUUUGGUUUUACUUGAAACUAAACUAUUAGACUUGAAAUACAGUGUGUUGUGGAAGUCCAGUUGAUUAUUUCUUCACAGAAGUAAAUCUCCAUAUCAAUGCAAGUAAGUCUUAGAAUUUUAAUAUUGUUAAAGCCAAAAAUGUAUUAUGGUUCAUAAUUUAUGAUUUCACAAGUGAAUUUACAGUAAUUGCAAAGAAUAUACAAAUAGUCAGUGAAAGGACAAGCUCCUUGGGAUGGAAAUAUGCCUCAUUAGUAUUCAUUACUGGGAGACAAUAUAAAAAGUAAAACAGCUCUCAACAACUGAAUUAAUAAUAUAUCUGUAUUAUUAUAAAAAGUUACUGUUAAGUAUUUUUUCUAUUUGCAUUCCAGAGACAUGUCUGAUUUUAAUAAAGAGACGAAUGUUGUCAGAUGUGGUUCCAAAGUUCAUGCUUAAUAUAACACUGACAAAAACCUUUAUUUUGCUAUUAAAAUUUUUCCUGAGCCUAGUAUCUAUAAAUUGAAGUGGAUAUUUAAUAUUAAAUGGGAACAUUAGUGCUUUAAAGGACUAUGUCAUUCGAAUGUACUCUAUAUCCCUCGUCUGUCACAUGGUAAGAUUUCUCUAAAUGCUCAUGGAGUGACUUGAUGAUUUCACAUACAAGCAUCCUGAAGAAUCUACAAUUCAUAACCCUAGUGUACAUUAUCUCAUUAGCUGUGCAAAGUACUUUGGCACAUUAUGCAUUUGAUAUAAAACUAGAACUUUGAAAGUUCUUUUAGAUAUAAAUUUGGUAACUUUUUGGAUCUAAAAUUUAGAUAGCUUUUAAUUUUGCAAGGCAAAAUGACUUGCUGUAUCCUUAGCAUGGACAGCAAGAAAGAGGUUUUGACAGCUACACCGUGCUCUCCAAAUACACAUCAGAUGUUAAUUUACCUUAAAGAUUCAUUUUUUUCAAAGAUGGACAUUAUUUCUUAUCAAUUAAAAUAGUCACUAAAUAGGCCGUUUACUAGGUAACAUAGUGGAAAAUAUUACCAUGGAAAAUAGAAUCUCAGAUGGGUUUAGUGCCUUAAGAUUCAUCACAGGGAAUGAGAACGCCUCAAUAUACAUACCAAGUGAAAAUUACUUAAAAUCAUAAAAAUGUACAUGGUGUAAACCAAAGUAUUAUCUUGCUUGAUUUGUAUUUAACAGCAUUUUAGUAAAAGCACAUUACCUUUAAUAUUUUGACCAUUUCACCACUAUUAAAUUCCUCAUGGGGGAGUUUCCAUCAUGGCACAGUGGUUAAUGAAUCCGAGUAUGAACCAUGAGGUUGCAGGUUCGAUCCCUGGACUCGCUCAGUGGGUUAAGGAUCAAGCAUUGCUGUGAGUUGUGGUGUAGGUUGCAGACGUGGCUCAGAUCCCCUGUCACUGUGGCUCUGGCAUAGUCUGGUGUCUACAGCUCUGAUUAGACCCCUAGUCUGGGAACCUCCAUAUGCCAUGGGAAGGGGCCCUAGAAAAGGCAAAAUAAAUAAAUAAAUAAACAAAUUCAUUCCUCAUGGGGUCUUGUUUCUCAUACAAUAUGGUCAUUGUAACUCUAAUAUAAUGAAAUGUAGCCACUAAGGUGAUGGCAAAAGAUUAUACAAUUUUUAACAUAACUGUAACAGUAACAUGAAAUUUAAAAAGAAAGCUGAGGAAAUGUCAACCUCAAAGUCUAUUUCAACACAGCAAUAAUUAACCUCCUUAGCCUCGAUUCCAUUAUUUACCAAGAAGGAUUAGAAAAGACACUUACAAUAUCUACUUGUAUUCUAAAUAUUCUUUGCAUAUAAUGCAUUUGUUAUGAUUACCAUUAUCACUAUUUCUAACACCAUUAAUUUUUUUGACCAAAUGCUCUAAGAAUUUAAGAUUAACAUUAAGAAAUCGGUUGCGUUUCUGUACACUAAUAAUGGAAUGCUAGAAAAGGAAUAUACAAAUACAAUACCUUUUAAAAUUGCAUCCCAAAGAAUUAAAUACCUAGGAAUAAAUGUGAGGAAGAGGUGAAAGACUUAUAUGCUAAGAACUAUAAAAUAUUAAUCAAGGAAAUUAAAAAGGAUGAAAAGAAAAGGAAAGAUAUUCUAUGCUCCUGUGUUGGAAGAAUUAAUUGUUAAAAUGGUCACACUACCCAAAGCCAUCUACAGAUUUAAUGCAAUGCCUAUCAAAUUACCCACGACAUUUUUCACAGAAGUAGAACAAACAAGCCAAAACUUUAUAUGGAACCA